rnacentral:misc_RNA from 1 species
GAAGAAGAACGUAGCGAAAUGCGAUACUUGGUGUGAAUUGCAGAAUCCCGUGAACCAUCGAGUCUUUGAACGCAAGUUGCGCCCGAAGCCAUCAGGUUGAGGGCACGUCUGCCUGGUCGUCACAUAUCGUUGCUCGAUGCCUAUCGCAUUGCGAUAGGACUUAGGGCGAAUGAUGGCUUCCCGUGAGCGUUGUUGCCUCGCGGUUGGUUGAAAAUCGAGUCCUUGGUAGGGUGUGCCAUGAUAGAUGGUGGUCGAGUUAGCACGAGUCCGAUCAUGUGCAUGCUCCCCAAAAUAUGGCCUCUGUGACCCACACGCGUCUUUUGACGCUCAUGACGAGACCUCAGGUCAGGCGGGGCUACCCGCUGAAUUUAAGCAUAUCAAUAAGCGGAGGA